rnacentral:rRNA from 1 species
CACGCGGUAAACGAUGAUUACUGGUUGUUCGCGAUACACUGUGAGCGACUGAGCGAAAGCGUUAAGUAAUCCACCUGGAAUGAAACUCAAAGGAAUUGACGGGGGCCCGCACAAGCGGAGGAACAUGUGGUUUAAUUCGAUGAUACGCGAGGAACCUUACCCGGGCUUGAAAUGCAUCUGACCGGCAAAGAGAUUUGCUUUUUCCUCGGAACGGAUGCGUAGGUGC